rnacentral:lncRNA from 1 species
GCAGGAUCUGGGUGAGUUAUUGAUGGUGAUUCCUGGCUAAUUCACCUUCUUCUCCUCCCAGUCUCAGGGGUGUUGGAGCCGAGGGAGCCACCACCACCUGCUAACGUGGUCACCUACCAGCAGUUUGCCCAGGAUUUGUACAAGGAGGUGCUGUCCAAUGCUGAUAAAUACAAAACCAAGAAUACGAGGUCAUGUGUCCUACUGCAAGACUGCUCUGACCUUGACUGGAAAAGUAUCUACAAGCAAGAUUUCGAGCCCCGGAGAGGGAUCCAUGCUGGACUGUUCACAGAGGAGAUAAGGCCUUCUCCCAUUUUCCCUGAAGAUCUCCGCUUCAAUGAGAACCGCUGGGUGACUGAGUAUGGAGACAGCUACAGCAUCUUCCUGAAGAACCUGGACUGGUCCUCUCCCAUCUCUGCCCAGUGGCUGCCCUUCGGGAAGGACGCGCGAUGGACGCCGCGGUGGAAACUGAUCGGGAACUGAGCGCUGCCAGGGUGGCUGUGCUCUUUGGCCCUCCAAGCUGCCUGUGUGAUCCUGCUCAUCAGAGACCCCGAAAGCCUUGGAAACCUCAUCACUACCAAACCCACCACGUGUCUGUCAGAUGUGAAAUGCUUGGCAAAGACUUCUUUAAGUGCAAAUUAUGAUUAAAAUCUCCCAUGAACCUCAGCUUUUAUCAUUGUCAGGAAAUGUUUUUUUUUUGAGGGGACAGUGGAGGUUACAGAGCUAAAACCGCCACUUUAAAGAGAACUUGAUGAUAAAACUUUGACUCCCAGCAAGAAGUAGUGUGUGUUAAACAACAUUGUUGGUGUUAAUUUACUCUCUAAACCUUGUGCACUUACAGGGAGGGAAAUAUCCCAUGUUUUCCAGGGCAGCUGAGUACCAGCUUUGCAGAGCUCCUUCCCCUCCUUCACAUUUAACAACUUAUUCCGAUUUUUGACCAUCAGUUUCAGCUAAUGCUGGGCAAACGGGAAUUGAGUUUGCCGUGUCCAUUCGGGAAUUUUAGGUUUCUGGAGGUUUCAAGGCUGCUCCCAGCCUGAAGAUGGCAAUGGAGAGCUGCUGAACCCAGACCUGGAAAGGUCUGACAGCUCUUCUGCUGUGCCUUUAGUGACCUGAAUGGGUCUUCUAAAUUGAUGCCAAAAUUAUCUGCUGCUGUGGAAUGCAACAGGUGCAUCUAUGAUUGGUCUCAUGUUGGUUUGUUUCUAAUUAAUGGCCAAUCACACUCAGGUGGCUCAGACUCUCUGUCUGACACAGAAGGUUUUGUUAUCAUUCUUUCUGAUUCUAUUCUUAGCCAGCCUUCUGAUGAAACCUUCUCUCCUAUUCUUUUAGUAUAGUUUUAAUAUGUAAUAUAUAUGAUAAAAUCAUAAAUCAGCCUUCUGAAACAUGGAGUCAGAUCCUCGUCUCUUCCCUCAUCCUGGGACCCCUGUGAACACCAUCACACCAGAUGGCAGAAGGGAGCAGACACAGAAUCAGGUUUUCAAUUUUCAUUUUCAAAUUAAAGGCUCC